GUUCCCCAUAAGGUAUGUCCCAAAGAAAAGCUUCUCGGUCAACAAAGCACAAAUAUUGCCCUCGACAAAGCCAUCUCCAAGCAAAGAACUGGUGACCCAACCAUCUUCAGCGAUAAGUAUUGAGAGGUACCCUUAUCAUUGAAUUUACAGAAGAUGAAACCACAAUCAAGGAGAGACAACAUUGUGACAAUGAACAACUAAGAAGGAUGAGAUGAUAACAACAAUAAACAACAAGGUACUAUCAGUUUCCCGUCCAAACAAAAUUAUCAAAAAAAUGAGGAUAACCGUAUCCACAGAGCUCUUUUU